rnacentral:lncRNA from 1 species
UUUGUGCAAUAAAAGCACCGCUAAGAGAGUCGGUGGCCUUUCUUGCAGUGUUCCAUUCGUUCUGACGAUGCAGAGACAAAAUUCGAUUAUUCUUAAUAUAUUUUAAUAUCAUAUCGCUCAUUCAUAUGUUCGCGGAUCAGAUUUGCUAUAUUGACUACUCAAGAGCUAAGGAUAAACCAUUUUACAAAGAAUGAUUGCGGAUCAUAUUCAUUUUAUAAGUUAAGGUAAUAGUUUUUCUCAUAUUCCUUGUUCAGUAAAACUAGCAUUCAAAAUUUUCCGUAAGUAGUAUAAGCAUGUCUUCCACGUUAUCCAACCGGUCGGACCACGCUUAUAUCUAAACUUUAUAUUACACUAUUAUUUAAAGCCGAUUUUAGUUUAUCUUUUAAUUAAUCUAUCUAUUUAUUAAUGCUGCUUGCUUGAUUAUUUUAUAUUAAUAUUUUUCAGACAACCAACAUGUUUAGUAUUCGAGGUUGCUUUGAUCAUGUUCACCAUGAACGGAUUAUGACAUAAUUUAGUUUUUGUUUGGUAAGCAAAGAUUUUAAAUAUAUAUAGUUUAUAGUUCGGCUUAAGAAAUAUCGAUGAUUAUUGAUCCGACAGAGGUGCAGGCUAAAUCUAAGAAAGCACAUGGAAAGAAAGUUGAAAUACUAACACUACUAACUAGUAUCUUAAGUUACAUAUCGGCUCGGACAGUUUAGAAAGAAAAAAAUAUUUUAAGCAAAAAGAGCCACCGUGGUAUAGACUUUUUUUUUUCUGUGGUAUAGACUUUAUAUAUACUCGAUAUUUCUUUCGAUCAUGUGCUGCUUUAACGGUAGAAGCAUUUCGUUGAAUGUUGCACUAACAAAGAUUAGUCGAUAUAUGAAACAAUAAUAACAAUGUGAGCGGCCUGGUGCAAGUGUUCUGAGGAAAACCUCUAUUUGGUAAUUUCUUAUAAUGUAUGAGCUGCUAUCUAUCUUUCUUUUUUGACAUGAGCUGCUAUCUAUCUUCUUAGUCGUUAUGACAUAAGUUAUAUUAUCUGAUAUAUUCGAAGGAUUCAAAGAAAACGAAAACGAACUGGCUUAUAAUAUUUAUACUUUCCAAACAUUUUAACCCCAAAAGAACAUUACUAAGUGGUAUAUACGACAAAUGACCAACGCCAUGUGCUUGCACUUUCUUACGUCUCAAGUCCAUUAGUCUUUUGUGUAAUCUCCUUUCUUUUAUUUACCCUAUCUGAACAAUGUUUACAAACCGUAAUAGUAACAAAAAAAUGUAUAUAUACAUAUGUAUCUAUAUAUUUUUUUACUAUUAGAACCGCACUACAGUUAUUUCGCGGAUUCAGAUCCUAAGUCGUGUAGACCAACCCGCAUGAGCAGGAUUGGUCAGGUUUCGACCUACACACCUCUCAUGUUUAAUGAAAAAAACAAUGGUUUUAUUUCAUAUAUAUCAGAUUUAACCGAUGCAAGCAAUAACUUUCUAUACCUGGUUACACAGAGAAAAUAAAUUGGAGAUGUUAAGAAAUAGGAAGAAGCUGAACCAAAAAGCCUUGCUUGAUUUGGCACACAGAUCAAGCAUUUGAUGCAGUUUAUAAUAUUCGUUGUGUAUAUGUGAUAGGAUAAUUCAGAACAUACGUAACUUUAACUUGUCGAGAUGGGAGAACCAAUGUGAGUAAGGCAUGUGAGAGAUGGAUCACAUUGUCCCACAGCUUUUGUCCCCUUUACCUCUGCAUUUAUAUUACCA